rnacentral:rRNA from 1 species
UACGUAGGAUGCUAGCGUUGUCCGGAUUUACUGGGCGUAAAGCGCGCGUAGGCGGCUUUGUAAGUUAGAGGUGAAAGCCUGGAGCUCAACUCCAGAAUUGCCUUUAAGACUGCAUCGCUUGAAUCCGGGAGAGGUGAGUGGAAUUCCGAGUGUAGAGGUGAAAUUCGUAGAUAUUCGGAAGAACACCAGUGGCGAAGGCGGCUCACUGGACCGGUAUUGACGCUGAGGUGCGAAAGCGUGGGGAGCAAACAGG